rnacentral:rRNA from 1 species
UCCGUAGGUGAACCUGCGGAAGGAUUAUUAUUAUAGGGGCUUCGGCCCCUUGAGAUAGAACCCUUGCCUUUUUUGAGUACCUUUGUUUUCCUUAGCAGGCUCGCCUGCUAGUAGGGACCUAACAAACCCUUUGUAACGCCUGCAAUCGUCUAACAAAACAAACAAAAAUUAAAACUUUUAACAAUAGAUCUCUUAGUUCUAGCAUCAAUAAAGAACGCAGCGAAAUGCAAUAAGUAGUGUGAAUUGCAGAAUUUAGUAAAUUAUUAAAUCUUUAAACGCAUAUUGCGCCCUAUAGUAUUCUGUAGGGCAUGCCUGUUUAAGCGUUAUUCAACCCCUUAAGCUCUGCUUAGUGUUAGGCGUCUGUUCUGCCUUACAGCGCGGACUCGCCUUAAAUCUAUUAGCAGCUAGCACGUUGGCUUCGAGCGCAGCAGAAACGCGAACUUAAGGCCUAGCAGAUUAGCUCCUAGAAGCUACCCCCUAUGAAUUUAACCUUAGAUUAGGUAGGGAUACCUGCUGAACUUAA